ACCUUUUGUGAGUCGCUCCCGGCUCCGCGGCCGCGGAGGUGUGGGGACCCGGGCUUGCGUCGGAGGGGGCGGUGGGCUCACCCAUGGGCCUUUCCAAAAGCAAAGAGAAACCCAGGAAAGGUAAAGGAGGCGCAGGCGCUGGGCUCCCCGCGUCUCCGCCCCUGGGCGCGGGCCCAGGGCGGGGCUGGGCUGGGCGGGGCGGUGUGAGCGCAGGCGCCAGGCUCGGCCCGGUGCGAACCGUUCCUGCCGCCGAGUCCGCCACGGACGGCGCGUUUCCCGCCUGAGGCGGUUACGGAAACGCGGAGACUCGAGACUUGAAGCCAGCUUAUUCUGGACCCACGCAGGCGACUGAAGACGAUGGGACCCACUGCCCUGCAUUCGAGAAACCUGAUGUAAAGCAAAAGUCCAGCAGGAAGAAAGUGGUCGUUCCACAGAUCAUCAUCACGCGAGCGUCGAAUGAGACGCUAGUCAGUUGCAGUUCCAGCGGGAGUGACCAGCAGAGAACCAUUCGGGAGCCGGAGGACUGGGGCCCCUACCGGCGGCACAGGAACCCCAGUACAGCAGACGCCUAUAAUUCACAUCUCAAAGAAUAAACAAGCACCUUUGCAUGGCACUCGCUACUCCCUGCGAUAGGCGUCUCGGGAACAGCCGCCUCACCCUGUGAGAAGCCGAGGCCCCUUCUCCAGUGCUCUCGGGGAGGUUGCACCAGGCCCACCCCACCCUGUGAGAAACUGCAGCCCCCUUCUCCAGUGCUUUCGGGGAGGGUGCACCAGGCCCGCCCCACCUUGUGAGAAGCCGUGGCCCCCUUCUCCAGUGCUCUCAGGGAGGGUGCACCAGGCCUGCCCCCGCCGUGAGAAACUGCAGUCCCCUUCUCCAGUGCUCUCGGGGAGGGUGCACCAGGCCCACCCCACCCUGUGAGAACCUGCAGCCCCCUUCUCCAAUGCUCUCGGGGAGGGUACACCAGGGUUGCCCCACCCUGUGAGAAGCCACCGCCCCCUUCUCCAGUGCUCUCGGGGAGGGUGCACCAGGGCUGCCCCACGCUGUAAGAAGCCGCCGCCCCCUUCUCCAGUGCUCUCCAGCCCGCCCCACCCUGUGAGAAGCCAUGGCCCCUUCUCCAGUGCUUUUGGGGAGGGUGCACCAGGGCCACCCCACCCUGUGAGAAGCCGUGGCCCCCUUCUCCAGUGCUUUCGGGGAGGGUACACCAGGCCCGCCCCACCCUGUGAGAAGCCGUGGCCCCCUUCUCCCGUGCUCUCAGGGAGGGUGCACCAGGCCUGCCCCCGCCUUGAGAAACUGCAGCCCCCUUCUCCAGUGCUCUGGGGGAGGGUGCACCAGGCCUGCCCACCCUGUGAGAAACUGCACCCCCUUCUCCAGUGCUCUCGGGGAGGGUGCACCAGGCCCGCCCCACCCUGUGAGAAGCCGCAGCCCGUUCUCCAUUGCCAUUUGGUCCUGCCUUCCCCAGAGCUGCUAGCAGCUCGGUCGAGGCAAGAGUGACUGGCUCAGAGAGCGAGCUUUGUGGUAUUGAUAAAUGAAUAAAUUAGUAUGUUCAUGUUGGAAGUGGCUGGCUCUGCAGAGUGAUGGACAGCAGGUGGCAUCUUACAUUGUGAUUUGUGGUGCACAGUUAAAACACUUCCCUUCGUUUCAGAAGGAGACAAUGUGAAUACUUGGAAAUUAUAGUGAAUAAGAUGCCUCCCAAACUUGAGGAAAAGGUCAGAUUCUAAGAGCUAAACGUUAAGAUGUAAUGUUCCAGAACAAAGAGGCCCAGAGUCACUGAACGGGGCCCCAGGGCUCCUAGCUUGAGUGUAAUCUGAGUCAGCUUAUGAAAAGGCCCCAAAGAAGAAAGUGGAAUGUGUGCUGGGCACAUGGGACAGCCAUGGCACUGAGACUUUGGAAGUGGCCUUGCCAGCGCUGUCCUGUCUUUCUGGCCCACAGAUGAGGGCUCCUGAUUGUGGAAGGCCACGGAAGGGACCUGAACACGAUGGCACGAGACAAGUUAUCUCCUGUGACUGCUCCUCUCCAGCAACCCUCAGCUCAGGCUAGACUUUCCCCCUGUGUUGAGAAUGCCCUGCCCUGUGUGGAAGCCUGAUGCAUUUAGUGACAGUGUGUUAGCUUUGUUAGUUUCUAGUCUGGCCAGCAGGCUUUCCAUGUGAUCUGCCAUUGGCUUGCUUCAGUGGCCAGUGGAGCCAGGGGUGUCCACCAGAGUCUUGGACACAGACUUCUGAGGUGGCAGCGGGAGGGAGCCUGCUCCCUGCCACACACGUACAAUUUCUAAUCCAUACAGGCCUAUGUAGUAUAUACACACAUACGCAGAGCCUUAGGAAUUGUGAAAGGCCAAUCAAAACUUGGGGCCCUAAUUUCACUCUGCCAAAAG
rnacentral:lncRNA from 10 species